rnacentral:rRNA from 1 species
UACGUAGGGCGCAAGCGUUGUCCGGAAUUAUUGGGCGUAAAGAGCUCGUAGGCGGUUUGUCGCGUCUGCUGUGAAAACCUCAGGCUCAACCUGGGGGCUUGCAGUGGGUACGGGCAGACUAGAGUGCGGUAGGGGGUGACUGGAAUUUCUGGUGUAGCGGUGGAAUGCGCAGAUAUCAGGAGGAACACCGAUGGCGAAGGCAGGUCACUGGGCCGCAACUGACGCUGGAGGAGCGGAAAGCAUGGGGGAGCGAACAGG